CCGAUCUUAGCUCAGUUGGAAGAGCGUGGGACUGUAAUUGGAUAUCGAUCACCCCGUGAUUACGUAAUCCCGAGGCCGUGCGUUCGAUCCGCACAGAUCGGA
rnacentral:tRNA from 1 species